rnacentral:lncRNA from 1 species
UGUUAAUCAAGAAGGUGUUUAACACUAAUUAAUCCAUAAUUAGGUGUUAAACACAGUGACUUGUGCAGCAAGCAACGAGUUCGAAUUCAAAUUAAAGAGAAGAGAAGGAAGAGGAAAGCAACGGCUAGUUUGACCAAGGAGGAAGACCGUACGGACGCGCUAAGGAGUGGUCCUCGUCCUCUUGUGCGAGCUGUCCCAUUUUGUCCUAUUAGUGAGCUGUCUCUAGCUAGGGUAACUAAAGGUGUGUGUAAAAGGCUGAAUAAGGAUGCAAUGGUGUCUAUGUGCAUAACCUAUUCAGACCUAGAGAUUGUCUAUAUAAACACACAUCCGCUACUCAUCUAUGUGAUACACUUACACUUUUUCAAUACAUUUUCACGAUUCUUCUCUACAUUUAAACAUGGUUCUCUUUCAUUUCUUUCCUCCCUAAAUCUUUCUCAAUCUUGGUUACUAGUCUUGAUUCGAUUCUUUAGUUCUAUUCUUGCUCUAGUUUCUUAAUCUUUAGUUUAUAUUUCCGCAUUUAUCAAUAUGGUAUCAGAGCAAACUCUAGAUCCAUGAGUUUUGUUCGCCCUCCUCGGUUUUCAAUAGAUUUCGAAAGUAGCUGUUUUGAUUGGUUUAGACAAUGCAAAUGUCUACUGGUCCGUGUUUGACAAUGAAGAGAAGCUUAAUGGCGGCUAUGGUGAAGAACCAUACUCUAAGCCCCAUUGCUAUCUCCAAGUCUCUGUUUUGUUUUUAUUCUAGACGAUGAAGAGAAAGGAAAUGGAGGCUGUGGUGAAGAAUCACAAAGGGAAGCAAGAAAUCUCUCAUCUUUAACCUCCAUUUCCAAUCUCCAAGUCAUCGUUUUAUUUGCUUGUGUGACAAUGAAGAGAGAGAAGUGGUGACUAUGGUGAAAAACCGUAUUUUAAGUUCCAUUUCCAUGAAAUCUCUAAGUCACUAGUUAGUUCUUUUAUUCAUCUUAAUCUCGUGACAAUGAAGAGAGAGAAUUGGUGACUAUGGUGAAAAACCAUACUCUAAGUCCCAUUUCGAUGAAUCUCUAAGUUAUUUUCUAUCUUAUUUCUCAUUUGGUAACAAUGAAGAGAGAGAGGUGGUGACUGUGAUCACAUGGAGAAAAAAAAAAAAAAAAAGAAAGUUCUCUCAUUAUAAGUCUCAUCUCAAUGAACCUCUAAGUUACUUGUUUAGUUAAGUCUUUAAUCGUUAUUCUUGAGACAAUGAAGGGAAGGAGAUGGUGGCCGUGGUGAAGAACCACACUCUAAGUCCCAUCUCGAUUCCUAAGUCACUUUUGCUUGUGCUUAGUUAGUUGUUUUGGUUUUGUUUUGUUUUUCUUAUUAUCCAAAGGAUGAAAGCUCCAAGCUUUGGCCGUGUACAAGUUUUCUCUUUGAGAAACAAAAACACUUUAAGAGGUCUUAGCUAAGUUUGAGAUCUGUUUGGGUAAUAAACCAUAUGACAUUGAUUCGUUAGUCUUCUAUUCUUAUGAAUAUAAAGACUACUAAGUUUCUUUGAAGGAUUAUGGGUCGUGUAAGUUAGUAACAUAGAUCUGUUGGCUUAUUUCUUAUAGAUAUAAAGCUAUCACGAUCAUAGUUACUUUCUUGUUUUAAGAAGAAACCAAAUCGACAUAGACAAAAUGGCCUAGAAGUACUCAGAAUCUCUUUGAGAAAAGUUGAGUAAGUAAAACCUAUGGCUAGUCAUGUGUUUUGGAUCUUGAAAAACCAACCGCUAGUUUGCGUUUUAACACCUUGGACCGUUGCUUUAUCAAAGAUAAGAUGAGAGUAACACCUAAGUCCAUUGGAUUUUAGAAGUUUUAAAGCGGUUUGGCUCUAUAUUGAGAUCCAUGAAAGGAGACUUGAUUCUUGUGAAUUCAAGUACUCACAACAUGCUGUAUCCAAGUUUUAUGCUUUAGAUUUCAAAUUUUAAAUUGGAAAAGAGGAGGGGAACGCUUAAGGAAUGAGAACCUUGGUCGACUUAACUCUUUAAGGUAUAAGUAAACCUUGAUGAAUCCAGAUUCCGGUUUAUCUUUAAAGGGGAAGAAGGGUCUACUAUGUUUGUGUAGUUUAAAGACCUUGAUGAAUCCCUUUGUAAGGAUUAAAGUUAAGGGAAGAAAGACUUAAUGCUCAUAGUUGAGUAAAAGGUCUUAAUGAAUCCCGGUUUAAGUGCUUUGGGUCACUUUGCGUUUAUAUACUUGAGUGCCCAUUGCGUUGCUAAGUCCUUGUAUAAAGGAAAGUGAGCCAUGACAGAUUCUAUACUCUUAAAAGAGAAAGAAUGUGAAGUCAUGAUGGAUCCAAAAGUCCUUAACAAAGAUUAUUAAGAAAGGAAGUGAGCCAUGACUAUCUUUGGUCUUAAAAGACUAAGUAGAAAGAGUUAUGAUGGAUCCAAAUCCUUAAAGGUAGAGAACCUUGACUAGCUUUGCUCUUAAGAGACUUAGCAUAAAAGGGUCAUGAUGAAUCCGAAACCUCAUAGUAAUGAAGCCUUGGACAAAGACUUUGUAUCUAAGUCCUCGGUUAAUGACUUACGUCACUAGAGAGAACUAGGUCAUUGGAGUGUUAUUUGAAUAUCACAAGCCAAUGGUGAAGGGGUCAACCACCUAAUCCAAACCAGAAGCGGGUCACGGAAGCCUUGCUCGAGCUACUGGUCGAGCAUGUAGAAUUGGGCCAAGCAAGUCUUUCCAAAGCCAUACACGAGUCAUUAGACCGGGCCAGAGAAGCUUCUGAACCCUUGGUUACUUAAUCGUUUAUUUACAAGUCUUAUUUGUGCUAUUUGCUUUAAUGCUCUAUGUGUGGCACAUUCGGAACUUCCACAAGCGUGAGAGUGUGCCCUCACUAGGAAGUUCCACCACUGAUCUUCUCUUUGAUGUUUUAAGCAUACAGAUUCAGAUUGAUAUGAUAAAGAGUCUCAUUGAGACAUUUGAAAGUUCAAAACAAUUCAAAGGACAAGAGAAUCAAGCAAUCCUUGUACCGGUUUCAAUACAUCAAGAUUGACAAAAUUCAAGCUCCAAGUCCAAGAGAGCUCAUCAAAAAACAGACCACUACAAAUUAAGAAGGCUACUCUCUAAAACUCUUAGUCGUUUUAGAAUCGCUUUAGUCAUUCAUACAUUUGAUUAUCAUGCUUGAAACUGGAUUGUUCUUUGCUCAAUUGGCCUUCAAGCUUAGCCUUUGUUGUGUAAUUCUUGGCUAGGCUUGAGGGGGAGAAUUAGACAUUUGAUCGCAACCAUAUAUACAUUUGAUCACUUGUUUGUGUGAAUCGCUUCUUGUUUGUAUGAAUCGCUUGUUUGCUAAGAUCAUCUUGACCUCUUCUUAUUAGCAAAGCUCAUAUCUACUUAUCGAAGUCUUCUAAACCCCUCAUAGCUUUACUUCAAAAGUCUAUACUUUCUUGUUGUUGAAGGUCUAGAAGAAGGAUUGGUGUGAAAAUUCUUAAAGGAAGAUUAGAGAAGAGAUAGAGGCUAAUAAAGAAGAACUAAAGCCAAGAGAAUAUGGUCUAAAAGCAAAUGGUGAUCAUCAUAAAAGAAAAAAAAAAGCGAGUGAGAAAAUCCGGAAAGAAGCUAUGAAGGCAAAGGAAAGGAAAUGGCUGAGUUGAUAUCAAUUCGAAUGGAGUGAAGGGAGAGCAGACCUAGAAGAUUCAAAGUGGAUAAAAGGAGCAUUUCACACCAAGUCUGCUCGAAGAAGCAAACCGUGAAGACUCAAAGUUGACAGAAGAAUGCUUUCACACCAAGACCGUUCGAAGAAAGAAUCCGUGAAGCCUCAUAGUUGUUAGAAGUAGACUUUCACAAUCAAGUCUGUUCGAAGGAGCAAAACUUGAAGAUGUGAAGUUGAUAAGAAUACGGAUUUCUCACCAAGAUUGUUGAAGAAACAAAUCGUGAAGGGCUGUAAUGAGUUAAACUUCACAUCGAAGCUUGAGGAAGAACAAGUCGUGAAGUAAAUCAGUAUGCGAGUAUGGACAGAAGCUAGAAGUGUCAAUCAAGAACCAUUCAAGAAUUGAGCAACAAGUCAGAAGCCAAGCUCAAGAAAGGUUAAUUGAUGGCAGGGGGAGCUUCUUUAAAGAUCGCACACCAAAACAUUGUUAAGAGUCAUGGCAAAGAGAGAAGACUCAAGGCCAUAAGCAAGACUCUACCACCAUCCGUUGAAAAGGCUGUCCUCUAAACUCUAUCUAUUUUCAUUACCCUAGUUCCAUUCAUUGCCAUUAUUCUCUAAUAGGGUCUCUUAGCUUAUGACAUUGAAAACUUUUGAUAUUCCUCAUAGCACACACUUCAUCUUUCUUCUUUAUCUCUUGUUAAAAGGUGAAGGAGACUAUGAGAGCCUCAAAAGAAGUUCAAAAUGUCAAAGAAGGAGAACAUAAAAGGAGAAAUGAAGGCAAGAAGGACAAGGAAAAUGGAUGUAACGUUUCAAGAAACGGAGAAAGGAAGCCAAUAUAUCAUCAAGGCUACAAGACCAAGUUCACCAAGUCUUGUAGGCCUCAAGUAUCCUUGAAAAGGCUUCCCCGCUUAUGUCAGUAAUACUCUUUUUCCCUAAGACCGGUUUUGUCCCACGUGGUUUUCCGAUCUUAGGUUUUUAAUGAGGUUACUCGCAUAAGUGUCAAGUCUAUAUACAAUGAUCAUUGUUGUACAGACUUGAGGGGGAGUGUUAAUCAAGAAGGUGUUUAACACUAAUUAAUCCAUAAUUAGGUGUUAAACACAGUGACUUGUGCAGCAAGCAACGAGUUCGAAUUCAAAUUAAAGAGAAGAGAAGGAAGAGGAAAGCAACGGCUAGUUUGACCAAGGAGGAAGACCGUACGGACGCGCUAAGGAGUGGUCCUCGUCCUCUUGUGCGAGCUGUCCCAUUUUGUCCUAUUAGUGAGCUGUCUCUAGCUAGGGUAACUAAAGGUGUGUGUAAAAGGCUGAAUAAGGAUGCAAUGGUGUCUAUGUGCAUAACCUAUUCAGACCUAGAGAUUGUCUAUAUAAACACACAUCCGCUACUCAUCUAUGUGAUACACUUACACUUUUUCAAUACAUUUUCACGAUUCUUCUCUACAUUUAAACAUGGUUCUCUUUCAUUUCUUUCCUCCCUAAAUCUUUCUCAAUCUUGGUUACUAGUCUUGAUUCGAUUCUUUAGUUCUAUUCUUGCUCUAGUUUCUUAAUCUUUAGUUUAUAUUUCCGC